rnacentral:rRNA from 1 species
CUACGGGUUGCAGCAGUGGGGAAUAUUGCACAAUGGAGGAAACUCUGAUGCAGCAACGCCGCGUGAGGGAAGAAGGUUUUCGGAUUGUAAACCUCUGUCCUCGGUGAAGAAAAAAAUGACGGUAGCCGAGGAGGAAGCCACGGCUAACUACGUGCCAGCAGCCGCGGUAAUACGUAGGUGGCAAGCGUUGUCCGGAUUUACUGGGUGUAAAGGGUGCGCAGGCGGGACUGCAAGUUGGAUGUGAAAUGCCGAGGCUCAACCUCGGAGCUGCAUCCAAAACUGUGGUUCUUGAGAGAUGUAGAGGUAAGCGGAAUUCCGAGUGUAGCGGUGAAAUGCGUAGAUAUUCGGAGGAACACCAGUGGCGAAGGCGGCUUACUGGGCAUUUUCUGACGCUGAGGCACGAAAGUGUGGGGAGCAAACAGGAUUAGAUACCCGGGUAGUC